rnacentral:rRNA from 1 species
AUCCUGGCUCAGAUUGAACGCUGGCGGAAUGCUUUACACAUGCAAGUCGAACGGUAACAGGUCUUCGGAUGCUGACGAGUGGCGAACGGGUGAGUAAUAUAUCGGAACGUGCCCAAGUCGUGGGGGAUAACGCAGCGAAAGCUGUGCUAAUACCGCAUACGAUCUACGGAUGAAAGCGGGGGAUUCGCAAGAACCUCGCGCGAAUGGAGCGGCCGAUAUCAGAUUAGCUAGUUGGUGGGGUAAAAGCUCACCAAGGCGACGAUCUGUAGCUGGCUGAGAGGACGACCAGCCACACUGGAAACUGAGACACGGUCCAGACUCCUACGGGAGGCAGCAGUGGGGAAAUUUUGGACAAUGGGCGAAAGCCUGAUCCAGCAAUGCCGCGUGCAGGAUGAAGGCCUUCGGGUUGUAAACUGCUUUUGUACGGAACGAAACGGUCCUUUCUAAUAAAGAGGGCUAAUGACGGUACCGUAAGAAUAAGCACCGGCUAACUACGUG